rnacentral:rRNA from 1 species
GCUCACUUGUGGGGGGAUUAGUGGCGAACGGGUGAGUAACACGUGAGUAACCUGCCCUUGACUCUGGGAUAAGCCUGGGAAACUGGGUCUAAUACCGGAUAUGACUGAUCAUCGCAUGGUGGUUGGUGGAAAGCUUUUGCGGUUUUGGAUGGACUCGCGGCCUAUCAGCUUGUUGGUGGGGUAAUGGCCUACCAAGGCGACGACGGGUAGCCGGCCUGAGAGGGUGACCGGCCACACUGGGACUGAGACACGGCCCAGACUCCUACGGGAGGCAGCAGUGGGGAAUAUUGCACAAUGGGCGCAAGCCUGAUGCAGCGACGCCGCGUGAGGGAUGACGGCCUUCGGGUUGUAAACCUCUUUCAGUAGGGAAGAAGCGUAAGUGACGGUACCUGCAGAAGAAGCGCCGGCUAACUACGUGCCAGCAGCCGCGGUAAUACGUAGGGCGCAAGCGUUAUCCGGAAUUAUUGGGCGUAAAGAGCUCGUAGGCGGUUUGUCGCGUCUGCCGUGAAAGUCCGGGGCUCAACUCCGGAUCUGCGGUGGGUACGGGCAGACUAGAGUGAUGUAGGGGAGACUGGAAUUCCUGGUGUAGCGGUGAAAUGCGCAGAUAUCAGGAGGAACACCGAUGGCGAAGGCAGGUCUCUGGGCAUUAACUGACGCUGAGGGAGCGAAAGCAUGGGGAGCGAACAGGAUUAGAUACCCUGGUAGUCCAUGCCGUAAACGUUGGGCACUAGGUGUGGGGGACAUUCCACGUUUUUCCGCGCCGUAGCUAACGCAUUAAGUGCCCCGCCUGGGGAGUACGGCCGCAAGGCUAAAACUCAAGGAAUUGACGGGGGCCCGCACAAGCGGCGGAGCAUGCGGAUUAAUUCGAUGCAACGCGGAAGAACCUUUAC